ACAGGGCAUUGAUCUGAUACACUACUCCAAACAGGUGGAGACUGAGUUACAGUAUAUUGAACAUGCCUCCAUCAAAGACUACAUCAAGGAGAGUGAGAACAUCACCAGUCUGCACAACCAGAUCACUGCCUGUGACACCAUCCUGGAGAGGAUGGAGCAGAUGUUGAGCACCUUCCAGUGUGACCUGAGCAGCAUCAGCUGUGAGAUCCAGACUCUACAGGAGCAGUCCAUCGCCAUGAACAUCAAGCUGAAGAACCGCCUGUCCUUGCGCAGCGAACUCAGCCAGUUAGUGGACGAGCUCAUCGUGCCCAACACAAUGAUCACGUGAGUGACCGGGCUCAGUUCAAUCUAUCUAUCUCUGCCUUAAAAAACAUCCACUGACUUGGCCUCCACUGCCUUCUGUGGCAAAGAAUUCCACAGAUUCACCACCCUCUGACAAAAUAAAUUUCUCCUCAUCUCCUUCCUAAAAGAACAUCCUUUAAUUCUGAGGCU